GCUUAGAGUUUGAUCCUGGCUCAGGAUGAACGCUGGCGGCGUGCUUAACACACGCAAGUCGAACGGUCUCUUCGGAGAUAGUGGCGGACGGGUGAGUAACGCGUGAGAAUCUGCCUUUAGGUUCGGGACAACAGUUGGAAACGACUGCUAAUACCGAAUGUGUCGCAAGAUGAAAGAUUUAUUGCCUAAAGAUGAGCUCGCGUCUGAUUAGCUAGUUGGUGGGGUAAAAGCGUACCAAGGCGACGAUCAGUAGCUGGUCUGAGAGGAUGAUCAGCCACACUGGGACUGAGACACGGCCCAGACUCCUACGGGAGGCAGCAGUGGGGAAUUUUCCGCAAUGGGCGAAAGCCUGACGGAGCAACGCCGCGUGAGGGAGGAAGGCUUUUGGGUUGUAAACCUCUUUUAUCAAGGAAGAUAAUGACGGUACUUGAUGAAUCAGCAUCGGCUAACUCCGUGCCAGCAGCCGCGGUAAUACGGAGGAUGCAAGCGUUAUCCGGAAUAAUUGGGCGUAAAGCGUUCGUAGGUGGUUUUGCAAGUCUGCUGUUAAAGCGUGUAGCUUAACUACAUAAUGGCGGUGGAAACUGCAAAACUAGAGUGCGUUCGGGGCAGAGGGAAUUCCUGGUGUAGCGGUGAAAUGCGUAGAUAUCAGGAAGAACACCGGUGGCGAAGGCGCUCUGCUAGGCCGCAACUGACACUGAGGGACAAAAGCUAGGGGAGCGAAUGGGAUUAGAUACCCCAGUAGUC
rnacentral:rRNA from 1 species